GUCCCAAGUCAGAGCCCACACAGGGUCAGCCACUGAGCACAUUGCAGUGGAGGAUGGUGAAUGUCAGGGAGAGCUUUUUCUGUUGGACUCAGACUGGCACUGAGCUGGGACUGACCAGUUCUGCUGUGGACCACAGACACUGACAACCCGGAGCCAUCAGAGUUCCUCUGAGCAUUUACCCAAGUCUAACAGAGGCCUGCUGGCAGGAGGCGUUCACAAGGUCUUAAUGAAGCAGGCGCUUCAGAUGGGGCUUCACGACUCUAAAGGCAAGUGUCCCUGCUCUGCGUGACAGAUGCCAUCCCAGGAAAGGCUGCCUGUGCUACCGCCUUGUGAGGGGCCAUCUGAAGCGCGACCUCACCCUGCCCUUACACAACCUCAGCCUACAGAUGAGCGCUCCGUGCGGCAUCCUCUUGGGGAGUCACAGCUGCCUGAUCAGUCACCCCUGAACACAGAUGACCCACCCCACCGCAGCUACAGAAGGAAGAGUAAGAAUGCACCCAGGCUGGAGGUGACUGAUGGUAUGGAGAGCCACUUUGACAUGUAUUCACCCAUUUAAAUGCUCUGAAAUAGGACUGUGGUAAUUUGGCUGAUCUCACUGGGUUAGAGACUAAAAGAGAGAGUUC
rnacentral:lncRNA from 1 species